GGGAAGAUGGCUGAGGUGGCGGGAAGUUGGCUUCCCAGCAGCGCGAGGCCUCACCUCAGUCUCCCCAUCUGGAACAUGGAUGCACGCUCAUCCUUUGGAGCCAGGGGCCCACCUUGCCGCCUGGGAUUGAUAAGGAAAGGGUUCAAGCUCUGUUUGGGGCCCUUCUUCCUGCGGAUCACAAGCUGUCCAGAAGCCCAGUUGGAAAACCGGGCGAGUUAGAAGGGAUCAAACCUGGAGUCCCCCCAUCCGCAGCAGACUGUUGUGGGAAGGAGGAAGAAGGAGGAACUUGGAAGUCACCGGGCUGCUUCUCACCAGCCCUGUGUCCUUGCACUUGGUGACUCCGGGGUCAUGGCUUUGGCAAAAGGGCCGUGAGUUCAGUCCUAGUACAUGAACGGGUGUGGAAAGUCUCUCCUUUGCAGAAGCAGCAGCAGCAGCUGCUCAGUACUUGCCUCACGCAAAGGCACAGCUUUCUUCUUGGAGAGGGAAAAAAGGCCAUCCUCGCCGUGAAACGUGCUUCCUUCAUCUUGAGAGUAACGGAAAAAGUGUUGUGAACAGUCUGAGCCUGGUUUCCCUGGCCAUGACAAAUUCUCAUGAAACCAGCGCACAGGAACUGGAUUUUCACAGCCGCCUUCGGAGGGGCCGUGUGUCCCCAGGCGGUGGGGAGCUGCCCCUGAUGUGGAUUUCUGG